GAUGAACGCUGGCGGCGUGCCUAAUACAUGCAAGUCGAGCGAACAGAUGAGGAGCUUGCUCCUCUGACGUUAGCGGCGGACGGGUGAGUAACACGUGGAUAACCUACCUAUAAGACUGGGAUAUCUUCGGGAAACCGGAGCUAAUACCGGAUAAUAUAUUGAACCGCAUGGUUCAAUAGUGAAAGACGGUUUUGCUGUCACUUAUAGAUGGAUCCGCGCCGCAUUAGCUAGUUGGUAAGGUAACGGCUUACCAAGGCAACGAUGCGUAGCCGACCUGAGAGGGUGAUCGGCCACACUGGAACUGAGACACGGUCCAGACUCCUACGGGAGGCAGCAGUAGGGAAUCUUCCGCAAAGGGCGAAAGCCUGACGGAGCAACGCCGCGUGAGUGAUGAAGGUCUUCGGAUCGUAAAACUCUGUUAUUAGGGAAGAACAAAUGUGUAAGUAACUAUGCACGUCUUGACGGUACCUAAUCAGAAAGCCACGGCUAACUACGUG
rnacentral:rRNA from 1 species